rnacentral:lncRNA from 1 species
AGAAACUUAUGUUCCCCUCUUUAUCCAUAGAGAUUCCAAAGAACCCUGGCACACAAAAAUGGCGGCAUUUAGGGCUCUCCUAAAUAGAAUACAGACACAUUGUUCUACCUGGCAAAGCAAUCAAGAAGAAUUAGAAUGGAUAAUUAAGCAGGCAGAGAUCCACGGAUACAAGCGUGGAGAGGUAUUAAAACUGUGGCAACGUAUAAACAAACAAAAAACAAACAAGCAAAGACGAGAGAAAGAAGAACAGUAUAAGAAUCCUUACACGAUAGUCUGACCCAUUUAUCUUGAAAUACAAAACAAUGUUAGAAAAAACAGCAGGCAGAAGAAUAGUUUUCUUGAGGCGAAAUACGGUUUUCAACAUAAUGAGGAACGAUAAAGAUCGCAGAAACAUGUUAGACAUGCCAG